UUUUUACAAGUAAGCGUCUAUGCAGGCAUCACAAACUUUGGCAGUAACAGUAGAUAUGUAUUUUUUUGAUGCUGGAAGGUCAGUCCCUAAGACAGUCAACUGUCUCAAAGAAUGAAAAGCAAAAAUCCAUGUGUCUGCCUGGCAAUGAGUUCCAUUUGCAAUGUAAUCUGCAUUUCUACAAAUACUCAAUGUCCAAGGCCACUAGAGACUGAAAAACCAGGGCAGCGUCUUCCAGCAAGAGUCAGGGCAAAACCCGAGUCAGAUUUCCACCCUCGGCCCAAACUUGGAGGCCCAAAGGCUGGGCCCAAGAAGUGGGGUCUCACUGCCCACAACCCCACACUGUGCUGGCAGCUUGGAUCCAGGGCUCGGGCCUGCCUCUUCCUGAGCCCCAGGACAGGCUACUGCCAGGUCUGCUCGCCUCCUCUGACCAAAGGCAAGAAGAGCAGGCAAGAACUGGCAUGAGAAGACUCAGUGCUUCCUCUGAGUUUCAAGUACGUCUGAGGUGUCUGGGUGCGAGUGCGUGUGUGCGCGUGUGUACACUCACAUGGGCACGUAUGAAGGGGAAGGCCAGAUUUGGAGGCUCUGAGCUUUGCAGGGUGUUGAAAAUAGACUCAGGACUUAUUUAUUUUCUUUUUUAGCUUUAUAGCAAUUAAGUGGCUAUUGAUUGGUUGGAAUGUUCAACUCUCCAUUUCCUCAAAUACAAUAAAAUAGUUUCAUUAAAAUGUAUUCAUGCUUGAAAAUAAGGGAGCCAUUAAAUGGUUUCCUUUCUGUUCCACUCCAAGGGAAAUGCACUGUUUGUAAAUCAACAAUCCGUCAUCCAAAAUCACUUGUUGUUUACGGUGCUUUUGGAGAAGUUGAGGGAUGUGGCCACGAGCGUGGCGACUGUGGGGUUAAGAGCAGUCCUGUGGCUGCAGGAGUGGUCAUGGCCUGACUGUCCAACUUUUC
rnacentral:lncRNA from 1 species